AGUCUGGCUCUGCAGUAGCAAAAGCGGAGGGGUUGGUUCUGGGCCAGCAGUCAUCAGAAUUAGCUCAUUGUUAAUAUACAGCUCACAGUCUGCUAAAGUCUUGGAGAGGGACACUUUUUUUCUCCAAGGCUGCAUUCCCUUUAUAGGAUUGCAGUGCCUCCCCCUACCCUCCUUCUUUACUACAGCAUGCCCCCGUUUUCUAAUUUCAGUACCUUGCUCAUGUAGAGGCAGGACAGUGGAAGGGAACAGGGGCUUUUGUCUUGUACUACCCUUUGGGGCUGGAGAGUGGAGGGACUGCAGCGUUCGGCAGGAGGAUGAACGCCCCAUUACAGAAAACAACUUCAGCCUGAGACAUUAGGCCACACACAAUCAUGAAAGUCUUUCAGAGGGAUGUUUUGAGGCUUCCCUCCUUAGCUGGACCCAAGGGGAGCAAGAAGACAAGAACUUCCUUCCUUUCUCCUGGAGAAGGCUGAAGAUGCUUUGCAUACUCAAAAACAAAAAAAAAAUAUACAAAAAAAAAAAAACGAUUACCUCUUUUAAUCACGUAUCUUCCAUUUGUGUUAAUUUGGUGUGUGGAUGUAGAUAAGACCAUAACAAAUAAUAUGGGAUCUUUUUUUGUUUCUCUUUUUGUUUGUAGUCUUUUUUUUAAAUAAUGUUUUAGGCCUGUUAGGGACUCUGAGCCUUGCUGACAGUUGUUUUUGAUUUCCUUUUUUUUUUUCCCCUUUUUUUUUUAAUAGCAAGACCGGUCUAAACACAAAUGAAGACAAAUUCUGACAGUUCUGAGCUACAACAAUACAAUCUCCACGUUGUGAGUCCAUGUUUACAACACUACAGGUGGGCCCCGUGGCCUGUUUCGGCUUGUAGCAGCAUGUCUUCCGCUUUUCCACGACAUGAUGUUAAACCUGGUGUUUCUUUAUUUUUCACUUUUUUUUUUUUUUUUUUUACUGCACUUUUAUAUUAUAGUCUACCAGUGUUCUACUGAGGCUGAGAGUCCCCACUUUUCACUUAGCCAUUAUUAGCUUAUUAGUUAGAAUUUUGGCUUUUUUUUUCCUUAAUUUUGCUUGUAUAACCCCAUACGUUAACCAUGUCUAUUUUAAUGUAUAGAUAUAGAUGUAGAAAUGCAUUGUUUCCUUGUGGUAAGUGAUUGAGAUGCUGCCACGGAUUUGAGACACUGAUGAAUGGUGCUAUUUUGGACUUUCAAUAUGCUCCUUGGUAAAGUAGCUCUGAUGGGUUAUUUUUUCCAUAUUCUAAGAAGGUGUUGGUGCUUUGUCGUCUGGUUGUUGUUACUUGGUCUGGACUGACUUGUUUUUCUUGUUGUCUUCUGUGUGGCUUUUAUUGACUACAGGUUAAAAUGCAGAGAUGCAGAUGGUCCUUUAUCAAAUAAAAAAGGUAUUUUGCCCAAGACUUCUAGGAAAGGGAGCAUCACAAAACUGCAACUUAAUGAUUAUCCCUCCAAAUGCAAAACUGGACAGUGGCCGUGUGCAUUGAAAUAUUUGUGAGUGUCCCCUCAAGCUUUUUAUUUUUUAUUUUUUUUCCCUUAUCACAUAAAUCCCCAAGCUCAGCACUUUAAAUUUUUACUUAGAAAAACGUAAUGUGAAUUGCGAUUGGAUUUUUUAUGAGGAGUUUUAGCAUCUAAUAGCAUCAAAUGCAGCAACUUUUUUUUUUUUUAAAUCUUCGUUCUUUGAUAAUAGAACUUACUCGUGUCUCUGGGAAAGAUAAUUAGAAAUUUCAGACCUUCUGCUUCAAAAAAAUAUCAGUUUUAACCCAUCCGGCAUCAUUUUGUAGUCUCAUAUAAUUGCAAUCCUGAGCUUUAUUUAAAGAAUGACUGAUACAAUGCAAUUCAUGUAUUUUUUAACCACUAUUAAUAUAUAUGUUUGGAAUAUUAUGUAGCAGAGAGCUGCAUACUGUAAUGCAAAAUUGUAUAACUGAGCAGAACUAUUUUAUAAUUAAGUGAAACUUCAUAGGUAGAUCUAUAUUUUUUUUCCUACUGUUUUUAUAAUAAAGACAGAUUGAUGAAAUCAUCUUGUGUUACAAACUGAUACAACACCCCUGAUCUCUUACACACUUGUGUCCAUGUUUCUAAAUAAUUUACCGGAAUGACAAUAGAUUCAUUUCUUUCAGUCUAUUUUCAUUUUUCUUUAUUAUUCGAUUUAUAUAAUCUUGGGAUAUUCAGUGCAAGUGCUUUACUAAAACAUUUACAGUAGUUCGUACCAGUAAGUGUGACUUAUUUUAAUCAUAUACAGUACAAAGAAAACAAUGAAUAAUUUUAAUAUAGUUUGCAGAUUAAUUUUAAACAGUAAGUUAAUGUACACAGUAUAAGCAGUUUUGUCUUGCUUCCCUUUUCAUUCAUGCCAUCUACAGCUUUGAUGUUGUGGUCUGAAAGCCCACUGUAGCUUAACUAUUCUUAGAUCUUCCUUUACAGUGCAAUCUUACAACUUGUGUUGAACUAAGCUUAUUACUUAAACUAAUGCAUGCACUUUUUUGGGUUUAAUCUUAUUUCUUUAAGAUUGUCUCCUGUUAUGUUAGACUAGGAAUGCCAGCUGUGUUGUACAUAGCCAGUGACAGUAUUAGGCAGUUCCAGCAUUUAUAUGUUGAGAUAUUCUGUACCUGCAGAUGUAUAUGGUUGAUAAUGCAAGCUUUUGUAAUAACGUGAUCUUUAAUAAUGCACUAUAAGUAUCCUGAUGUAUUUUGGCUAUUUUAGUAGUAUUUCAAUAAAUAUGCAAGCGCCUACUUAAUAGUUAAA